rnacentral:rRNA from 1 species
UACGUAGGGUGCAAGCGUUUGUCCGGAAUUAUUGGGCGUAAAGAGCGUGUAGGCGGCCCGGUUAGUCCGCUGUGAAAGUCCAGGGCUCAACCCUGGAAUGCCGGUGGAUACUGUCGGGCUAGAGUCCGGAAGGGGCGAGUGGAAUUCCUGGUGUAGCGGUGAAAUGCGCAGAUAUCAGGAGGAACACCAAUGGCGAAGGCAGCUCGCUGGGACGUGACUGACGCUGAGACGCGAAAGCGUGGGGAGCAAACAGG